GACGAACGCUGGCGGCGUGCUUAACACAUGCAAGUCGAACGGAAAGGCCCUGCUUUUGUGGGGUGCUCGAGUGGCGAACGGGUGAGUAACACGGGAGUAACCUGCCCUUGACUUUGGGAUAACUUCAGGAAACUGGGGCUAAUACCGGAUAGGAGCUCCUGCUGCAUGGUGGGGGUUGGAAAGUUUCGGCGGUUGGGGAUGGACUCGCGGCUUAUCAGCUUGUUGGUGGGGUAGUGGCUUACCAAGGCUUUGACGGGUAGCCGGCCUGAGAGGGUGACCGGCCACAUUGGGACUGCGAUACGGCCCAGACUCCUACGGGAGGCAGCAGUGGGGAAUAUUGCACAAUGGGCGGAAGCCUGAUGCAGCAACGCCGCGUGCGGGAUGACGGCCUUCGGGUUGUAAACCGCUUUCGCCUGUGACGAAGCGUGAGUGACGGUAAUGGGUAAAGAAGCACCGGCUAACUACGUG
rnacentral:rRNA from 1 species